AUUGAACGCUGGCGGCAGGCUUAACACAUGCAAGUCGAGCGGAGCGAGGGUGCUUGCACCUUAGCUUAGCGGCGGACGGGUGAGUAAUGCUUAGGAAUCUGCCUAUUAGUGGGGGACAACAUUCCGAAAGGGAUGCUAAUACCGCAUACGCCCUACGGGGGAAAGCAGGGGAUCUUCGGACCUUGCGCUAAUAGAUGAGCCUAAGGCGGAUUAGCUAGUUGGUGGGGUAAAGGCCUACCAAGGCGACGAUCUGUAGCGGGUCUGAGAGGAUGAUCCGCCACACUGGGACUGGGACACGGCCCAGACUCCUACGGGAGGCAGCAGUGGGGAAUAUUGGACAAUGGGCGGAAGCCUGAUCCAGCCAUGCCGCGUGUGUGGAGAAGGCCUUUUGGUUGUAAAGCACUUUAAGCGAGGAGGAGGCUACUAGUAUUAAUACUACUGGAUAGUGGACGUUACUCGCAGAAUAAGCACCGGCUGACUCUGUGCCAGCCGCCGCCGUAACAC
rnacentral:rRNA from 1 species